CCAUCCCUCCGCAGCUAGCUUCUUAGAGGGACUAUCGCCGUUUAGGCGACGGAAGUUUGAGGCAAUAACAGGUCUGUGAUGCCCUUAGAUGUUCUGGGCCGCACGCGCGCUACACUGCCGUAUUCAACGAGUAUAUAGCCUUGGCCGACAGGCCCCAGGACAUCUCCUCAGAUGCAUCGGGACGGGGGUACAACAUACUCAGUGGGGGCCAUCACUG
rnacentral:ncRNA from 1 species